CGAGUAGGCGGAUGAUUAAGUUAGAUGUGAAAGAUACGGGCUCAACCUGUGGAUGUCAUCUAAGACUGAUCAUCUAGAGAGCAGUAGAGGGGAGUGGAAUUUCCGGAGGAGCGGUGAAAUGCGUAGAUCUCGGAAGGAACACCGGUGGCGAAGGCGACUCUCUGGACUGUAACUGACGCUGAGGAGCGAAAGCGUGGGGAGCAAACAGGAUUAGAUACCCUGGUAGUCCACGCAGUAAACGAUGAAUACUAGACGUUAGUAUUGUAAAGAUAUUAGUGUCGAAGCAAACGCGAUAAGUAUUCCGCCUGGGGAGUACGGCCGCAAGGUUAAA
rnacentral:rRNA from 1 species